UGGGCGUGUACUGAGUUAACCUAUUUGCUAGGUACUUGUGUGGUCAGUAGUUUUGAGUACCAUUCAGGGUAAAGGAAGAAUUCUGUAAUAAUCUGAGGCUCUAUCAUUUGGUUUUUUUUACUCUGAAGAUCCAAAGGUAACUGAGACAGAGUUGUUUUUUCCUUACUUUCUCACUGAACUGUUAUGGAUCUGGCCACUGCUUUGCCCCUCCAAGACUACCUCCUGUGGUGAAGUCCCUACAAGUCAUAGCUAAUUUUAUGUGUCAAAUUGGUUGAGCCAUGUUGCCCAGAUAUUUGGUCAAACAUCAUUCUUGGUAUUUCUGUGAGAUGUUUCUAGAUGAGAUUUACAUUUAAAUGGAUCGACUUUGAGUACAGAGGAUUACCCUUCAUAAUGUAGGUGGAUUUCAUCAAGUCAGUUCAAGGCCUGCAUAGAACAGAAAGCUGGUAUACCCAUGACCAAGAAAUGAUGCCUAUUAUUGCUCAAAAACUGCAUUACCACGUUACUUCUCUCGCACUCACUGGAACCGGAAUUUGGGAACGCAACUUGUUUUCUGAUCCAGGUGUCUGAGGAAAAACUACACCUGCCCUGGUUUCUCAUAAAGAGGUGAUUUUUCAAACCAGUGACUGAUUUGAUUGCGUACAUUCAUCAUUUAUUUUAUUUGGGGCUGCUGUACUUAUUAGCAUUGUUCGGGUGUGUAUAGCUAUCAUCUACAUUAGUUUAUUUUCUAGCCAAUUCAAGAGCUCUGGAGAAUACUCACAAAACAUUUUUGAAAGAAAAAAUUCCUCGUCUUGGCUCAUGGGAUUGUGAGCACCAUGUUGGCUCCACCUCUCUCAGUGGGGAAAUCCUAAACAAUUCUAAUGUUGGAUUGAGAUUCUAUUAUUGUGCUAUAUAUCGGUUAUCUUAAUUAAUAAAGUACAUGUUAUAGCCCAGAAUGAUUACGUGAAGGUUGGGUUAAAAUUUAUGUAGCCAUGGUUAUAAUCCCCAAAACCAAAGGGUGAGAUGGACUGAGAACCAGCUUAGGUUUAUAUCAAUUUUUCUGUAUAUGGAACUGAAUUAUUUUUUCUGUAUGGAAAUAUAAUAAACUACUAAUAGACUGUGA